GAUGAACGCUGGCGGCGUGCCUAAUACAUGCAGGUCGAGCGAACGGACGAGAAGCUUGCUUUUCUGAUGUUAGCGGCGGACGGGUGAGUAACACGUGGAUAACCUACCUAUAAGACUGGGAUAACUUCGGGAGACCGGAGCUAAUACCGGAUAAUAUUUUGAACCGCAUGGUUCAAAAGUGAAAGACGGUCUUGCUGUCACUUAUAGAUGGAUCCGCGCUGCAUUAGCUAGUUGGUAAGGUAACGGCUUACCAAGGCAACGAUGCAUAGCCGACCUGAGAGGGUGAUCGGCCACACUGGAACUGAGACACGGUCCAGACUCCUACGGGAGGCAGCAGUAGGGAAUCUUCCGCAAUGGGCGAAAGCCUGACGGAGCAACGCCGCGUGAGUGAUGAAGGUCUUCGGAUCGUAAAACUCUGUUAUUAGGGAAGAACAUAUGUGUAAGUAACUGUGCACAUCUUGACGGUACCUAAUCAGAAAGCCACGGCUAACUACGUG
rnacentral:rRNA from 1 species